rnacentral:lncRNA from 1 species
CGGCUCUUCUCCUCUGACAUUAUUAAAAGCCUGGCAGGUACUUUGAAUGUUUGUUUCCAUCAAGUUUUCCUGGCCUUUCUAAUCUGCAAAUAUUUCUGGCUGGUUUCCUUUCCUGAGUGUUCUGUGUUGCCUAGCCACUGGAUUUUCCCAGCCUCACCUGCCCAGCAACCAGCUCUCCAGUGCCCAAGCUGGCACAGGGUGCCUUCACCACCUCCAUUGUUAACAUUCUUGUUGACACAGCAGAACCCUGCCAUAUUGAUGGAACCGGAACCCAAGGUUUGUGCUUGA